rnacentral:rRNA from 1 species
UACGUAGGUCGCAAGCGUUAUUCGGAUUCACUGGGCGUAAAGGGUGCGCAGGCGGCCGAGUGUGUGAGGCGUGAAAGCCCGGGGCUUAACCCCGGAAUUGCACCUCAAACUACACGGCUAGAGCAUUGGAGAGGGUAGCAGAAUUCAUGGUGUAGCAGUGAAAUGCGUAGAUAUCAUGAGGAAUACCAGAGGCGAAGGCGGCUACCUGGACAAUUGCUGACGCUCAGGCACGAAAGCGUGGGGAGCAAACAGG